CUACGGAGGGUGCAAGCGUUACUCGGAAUCACUGGGCGUAAAGCGCGCGCAGGCGGCUUGAUAAGUUGGAUGUGAAAGCCUACGGCUCAACCGUAGAACUGCAUCCAAAACUGUCAGGCUAGAGUGUGGGAGAGGAAGAUGGAAUUAGUUGUGUAGGGGUAAAAUCCGUAGAGAUAACUAGGAAUACCAAAAGCGAAGGCAAUCUUCUGGAACACUUCUGACGCUGAGGCGCGAAGGCGUGGGGAGCAAACAGGAGUAGAAACCCUAGUAGUCC
rnacentral:rRNA from 1 species